rnacentral:rRNA from 1 species
UACGUAGGGUGCGAGCGUUGUCCGGAAUUAUUGGGCGUAAAGAGCUCGUAGGCGGUUUGUCGCGUCGGCCGUGAAAACUUGGGGCUUAACCCCAAGCCUGCGGUCGAUACGGGCAGACUUGAGUUCGGCAGGGGAGACUGGAAUUCCUGGUGUAGCGGUGAAAUGCGCAGAUAUCAGGAAGAACACCGGUGGCGAAGGCGGCUCUCUGGGCCUUACCUGACGCUGAGGAGCGAAAGCGUGGGUAGCGAACAGG